GACGAACGCUGGCGGCGUGCCUAAUACAUGCAGGUCGUGCGGGGAUUUUCGAGGCGGAGACUUCGGUUGAAGCCUUGGAGAUCCUAGCGGCGGACGGGUGAGUAACGCGUGGGUAACCUGCCCUAUCGCCCGGGAUAACCCUCGGAAACGAGGGCUAAUACCGGAUGCGGUCACCGGGUCGCAUGACCGGGUGACGAAAGGGAAACCGCGAUAGGAUGGGCCCGCGUCCCAUUAGCUAGUUGGUGGGGUAACGGCCCACCAAGGCGACGAUGGGUAGCCGGCCUGAGAGGGUGGACGGCCACACUGGGACUGAGACACGGCCCAGACUCCUACGGGAGGCAGCAGUAGGGAAUCUUCGGCAAUGGGCGAAAGCCUGACCGAGCGACGCCGCGUGGGGGAUGAAGGUCUUCGGAUCGUAAACCCCUGUCCUUGGGGACGAUGAUGACGGUACCCAAGGAGGAAGCCCCGGCUAACUACGUG
rnacentral:rRNA from 1 species